rnacentral:rRNA from 1 species
AUUGAACGCUGGCGGCAGGCCUAACACAUGCAAGUCGAACGAGUGGCGGACGGGCGAGUUAUGUCUGGGAAACUGCCCGAUGGAGGGGGAUAACUACUGGAAACGGUAGCUAAUACCGCAUACCAUCGGAUGUUCCCAGAUGGGAUUAGCUAGUAGGUGGGGUAACGGCUCACCUAGGCGACGAUCCCUAGCUGGUCUGAGAGGCUGACCAGCCAAACUGGGACUGAGACACGGUCCAGACUCCUACGGGAGGCAGCAGUGGGGAAUAUUGCACAAUGGGCGAAAGCCUGAUGCAGCCAUGCCGCGUGUAUGAAGAAGGCCUUCGGGUUGUAAAGUACUUUCAGCGGGGAGGCGUUACCCGCAGAAGAAGCACCGGCUAACUCCGUGCCAGCAGCCGCGGUAAUUC